AUCACAACAGGAAACUGUUUUAAAGUAGUAGUUGUCCACAGCACAGCUAAGAAUAUCAUCACCACCAUGGCUUUGCGCAGUUUGAGUCAGAGGACCAAGUAUUCUAAACUGAAUGUUACAGAGCAGGAUUAAACAUAAAAUUAGGUGGUUAAAGCAAAGAUCUAAAAACAUUGCCAAGAGCAUAUUGUGAUCCAUUGCAGCUGCAGGUUUCUGUUAUACAGCACUCUUGGAAAAUUCAAGAAUACUAAGAUAAAGGAUCCUACUACUUCACUAGUAUUUUGUUCGAGCAAGAACUGCUGGAUUCAGACUGGAAAUAAUGGCUAGUAAACAGUUUUAGGAUUUGGCUUACCAUUUGUACCUCUUAAAGACUUCUCUAUCCAAAAGUGCUAAUGUUUGACUCAACAAACUGUGUCAUUAACUCAGCUAUAGUUUCAAGGAGAAAUUCCCUGGACAAGGAUAAGACUGCUCUGGAGUGACUGAAUUCCUUCCUGCAGAAAAAGUCUCUGAGGAUUAUAUUUCUCAGCAAGCCAAAGGGUAUUCAGAGGGAUGGAAAUUUCGGAUGUCUCUCCUCAGGUCUUCCUCCAAGUGUGCCUGUACUCUUGACAGAGGGCAGAGAUUGGGCUGCACUCCUGCUUUGUCCCUUCCUGUCAAACUAUCCACAGGAGCAGCCAAAAUGUGACCUAAGCUCCAGCCAAGCAUGGACCCAGGCGGGAAUAAAACAGCUGAGGCUCAUUCUCAGCAAAGAGGAGGGUGCUGAUGUCAUGAGGAUUGCUGUCCCCAAUAUAUGUUAAGCCUACAAGAGCCAUCAACAAGAUCAGAAGCAGUCCACAGAAGAUGCUACCUUCUACACCCUGCUGGGCAAAUUCGUCUUGCAGGUACAGAUCGUGCUGGAAUUGCCAGAGGAUGUGGACACCUGCUUGGUGAGGGGGGCAGCCUGCAUGCAACUGCUCCCCAGCCGGGCACGUGGCAUGGCUCAUGCGUGUCACCUGCCUUUCUGGAAAUGCAAGAGACUAAGACAUACAGCAGGGCUACACGCUGCUGCUCUGAAGAAAGGGUCUGCUGUUGCACAGUGUAAUGUUUUGCUAUAGCAUUUUCAAGCAGUUUAUAUACAGUAUUCAAAUUGCACAGACUGGGGUUCAUCCAUUAUUCUAACAUGAUAUGAAAUCAAAUGAAUGAAUAAGCACAUUAUCAUAAAGCAGAAAAGUACUGAAAACUAUUGUUUUAAGCCUAAAGAAAAACUUGGCCUCUGACUCUGAUAAUAAGUCAGAUACCUGUAUUCGCUUUAGCUACCAGAACACGCAUACACACACACACACACAAAAUACACCAACAUUUACCAAGGGAAAAACCACAAUCAGGUGUUGAAUAAAAUUUUCAUUAUGUAGAAAAAUAUUACUGAUUAUUUCCUCAGGUCUGCACAAAGGGUCAAAACCUCAAUGGAAGAAAGAUAUAAAGAUCAAUAGAAUGCUUUAUCUAUAUUUAAAUCUGAUAAAUUGAUUCACAUUGGUACUUCAGCUUUCUCUCAACAGGAAGCAAAUAAGAAAAGGGAAAAUGUCAAUUAAAACAUGUUAAUAAUGUAAGAUAAGCCCACAUUUCUAAUUUAAACAUAAUAUUCAAUGUCAGUCAAGUACUGUUACAGUCAAGUAGACAUUCAUAAAUUCUCCCUCACUUUGAAGAUUUUGUUCCCAUCUAGGUAAUGUCUUCUGCCUCUGUACACUUCCACAAGUGCUCUCAACAUAGCUCUCCCUACACAGUAUCUCCAAACAGCAAAUCUCAUGUGGAGUGCCUGCAUAUACAAAAUAUAAUAGCUUUAACAACUUUGGAAUAGGCCUUCAUCUCUCCAUACAGGAAUUUCUCAAGUAUAUCUUCAGAAGCGUAAUAAACAUGUCUCUAAUUCAGAUGGUUUUCACGAUCAUCCCUGAUUGAAAGACAGAGCUUUUAUCAAUGCUCAGUUGAUGAUUUCUACUAACUACUAUGUAAGUGCUAUUAACUACUAAUAAUGCCACUAAAAAUUACAUCUAAAAGCAUUUUCAGGAUGAAAAUCAAAAUUCCUUCCAAAGUGCACUUAUAAUUCGUGAUCACCACCUGCCUCAUCACUGCCUACAAGAAUCUGUCAAUUCCAAUGCCCUGGCAUGCAGAUUAGUGGAAGCCAAAUCACAAGUUUAGUCAGCAGCCAGUGUGACCUUUGAGGAAGGCUAACUUUCCAGACAGUAUCUCCAAGCACCAGAUCAAAUCUAUUGCUUCCAAGCUUAAAGGGGGAGAGAAAUAUGUUUGUCUGAACAACUUUUUUUGUUAUAUAAAAAUUUACAACACAACACCUAAACAGCAAAGCUGUUUCUAUUUUUUUUUUUUAAGCUGUUUCUAUUUUUUUUUUUUUUGAAUUCUUCAUAUUCAGUCUACGGAUGCAGUUAUUAAUGGGUUGUUUUCUCAAGGAGAGAAACAUCCACUGAUUGAAUGACUAGCAAUUCAGUAAAUCACUAAAGUGCACAUGUACCUAGUGUGACUAACUGCAUAAUGCACAGGAAGUGUCCUGAAACCUCCUCUGAGAAACUGACAUUUAAUUCACACUGCUAGUAAAAGCAAUUUAGGUGGGGCUAAAGGCAUGAAAAGUUCCACCUCACAGCUGCACUUCAGGAGAGUCUCAGGGACAGCUCUGAGAAACACCUUCCCUCUGCCAGCACAGGCUCCUUUUUCCUUCCCAUUGCACAGAUAUCUGCAGGGAGCUCACUGCACCCGUACACGAGCUGCUUUACAUUUCCUGCCACCAAUAAGACUCUUCUUGCAGAGAGCAGCAAACAACAAGAAUGUGCUCUUCUAUGGCGAUGGCUCAUACAAGGCACACAAAAAAAUUGACUCUGCAGAAACUAUUGCACAGAGAUGAGAGAAGAUACAGAGAUUUCUUUCCUCCAAAUAAUUUUACAGGCCACUUCUAACCUCAGUCAGCAUGUAGCAGUAUAUUUCAAGUUGAUGAAUCCACUGUGUGAUGUCCUGGCAACACGGCAAUGCAUCUUCUCCAGCAUGGGGCCACAUGAAAGGACAUCACCUGCUCUCCAACCCCAACCCUGUGCAGACACCACGCAGGGCUCACACCAGCUUUCUCCGAGCAUCACCUGUCAUGCUCUGAAGACAUGUCAGCGUCACCAUCAAAAAGACGUGCUUGCUGAUACAGACUCCUCUCCUGGGGAGACUAACCUGCAUUUCCAAACUCCCUGCCGAACACCUCCAUGACUUACAGAAGUGCAUCCAACACAUUUCAUCUUCUUUUUCCCACAAAGGCCCUCUCAGGUCUGUCAGGAUCCAUACAAGUUAUAUAUUUAGAAAAGGCCGCAGCAGUAACUUUUAAGUGCGUCCCUGUUAACAGAGCACGGAAGAGGAAGAUUUGUGCAUUUGCGUCUAAUGGGUAAUUCUCAGAUACCAUGGUUAUGGAUGAGUUUAAGCCAUACAAAGCAAUUAAAUUUAAUGCACUAGAAGAAGACAGAUGCUAUUUCUGACUGAAUGACCUCAAAAGAAUGGACGUAGAUGCUCUAGUCUGAGACCCUAGAAAACCAGUGACCAUCUGAAUACGUUUGGUAACGUUGUUUUCCUCUCAAAGCAGAAAGAUCUUACUCUCUUGGAUUUGUCAUAUUUGACUCCUGGCACCAGUAUGUUGAUACCAUAUGAUACCUGCUAUGACUACAAUAAAAUAAUUAAACCUCUACAAAAACUCUCAAAAGGUUUAAUGUGUUCCCUUCUUUUAAGAAGGGAGCCUCAAAGCAAGAAGGUAGCCAAGACAAACAGGGAUAUAUUGCUUAAAUCAAGAAGUGGGCAGGUACAGAACUUCCUUUCUUCAUUAUUCCUAAUCAGUUUAAGAGCAUGAUUCAUGUGUUAAACUUCAUUUGAUACAAGUGUGGGGAAAAAAAAGUGAAUUACCCAUUGAACACACAAUGGAAUAAUUAAAGGAAGCUGUAGGUACUCCAUGCCUUUCAAAAUCCAUCACUCUUCAAGAAAAAGCUUACGUACAUAUUUAUGUCCAUCUUUGUUAAGGAAAACCUACACAUUUAUGCUUGAAUAUCUUCUUGGAUGAAGGCCAAGCAGAGAAAUUCAGAUAUGUGUAACUGGAGGACUGUGUCCACCUCUGAAUCACCGGCCCAGACCAUACAUGCUCUUGUAUUCUUUCAAGUAGAAUACAGUGCCUAAGAUUACACUUCAGUGCCCAAAGUGAUGAACGUUUUGUGAGCUUCCUGUGAAGCAAUUACACUGCAACUCAGACAGCUAUCACAAGAUAAAUCUACUGUUCAACAGAAAAUUGAAAAUACUUCUUGAUCAAAUGCAGCUGAACUGUAAGACAGUCUUUGAACUUUUAAUUAAUGUCUGUAAAGGAAUUUUACUUUGACAUGAGCACAGCAACUGCUUAAAAUUAUUUUGCAAUUGAUAAAACCAUACAGCUGAUGAAUUUUCUACCUUAACUGAGCUGCAGUGGCAAUCCCUUGGGCAAUCAAAGUCUGUUCUCUUACAGGAAACCUGCAAACCAAAUUCUUAAAAAAAUCUCUUGCAGAAGACAAAAAGGGAAAAAAAUAUACAAGUUUUCCCAAAUUCAAUAUAGUUUAUAUAAUACAUACAGUCAAAAGCAAAUUUUAGUCCACCAGCACUAAAAAGAAAAGAAUGCGUGCUCUGUUGUGUGAAUGGUUUGCAAAGGGAAAAAUUUAUUGUAAGAAAAAGUAUCUGCCUCAUUAGGAAGAAGGUAUCAAAUAAUAUCUAUGAUGUUUACAUGUUAAAGUUUUUUCAUUACAUAGUAUAAUUUAUUUGUCCUACUCCAUCUUAUUUUACCUAUGUGAAGAAGAUGCAGUUUUCCUUCGAAUAAAAUCUGUGGCAAAUUUUCAUCAGACAUAUAAUUUAUGGCAAUGGAAAUAUGAAACAUAAAAAUGUUAAACACUUGGCAAUUAAGUUUUGUCUGUGAGCUACUAAGAACCAACUACCCUACAGCACUGAGUUUUAUUUGCAA